CUCAUGUUAAUUAUAUGUCAGGUGUAGGUUGUGAUUAUACGAAGCCUUUUCUCAAAAUUACUUAUUUUCUGUGGUUAUGUGUGUUUAUGUAACCUUGCCUGUCAUAAAAGUUAAAAUUAAAAUACAUUUUUGAAUUUUUUUUACAUUGUAAUUCUAUGCUUUUUGGCAAUCCCUUAUUGCUACUAUGCUUUGUAUAUUAUAGUUACUUAAUACAUUUUUUAAAAUUGAAUUCAGCUGAUUAGUCUUUAAAGGCAACUAUUUAGCUGUCUUAAGAAUCUAGUGAAUUUUUAUUUUUAACUUUAAGUUUGUCAGGUUGAAGAUAUAGGUAUUGCUGUAGGUAUAGAAUAUUGUUAUUUUUAGGCAUAGGCUAUUAUUAUUAUUGAAAGAGAGAAAGGUUACUGUCACACAGGGGAGUAUUUGCGGUAAAGAUUCAAUACCCAUAGCUUCUCAUCUCAGGUCUGCAGGGCAUAGCCAAGUGAUCUAGUCGAGCCUGGAACCUCCUUUGGCUGUGACUUCAUCUAAAAUUAGAAGGCUGAACUAAGUCAUCUCAGAAGGGCUGAUGAUUGCAUAUGAGAAACAGGAGAAAUGGGGUGCAUGGAGAGACCCCAGAAAGUGGUGUUACAUAAAAGUAGAGGAACUUCGUUCUGCUUGUUUGAGGGUCAGAGAAGAUAACAUUUAGGAAAAAUAAUUGUAAAAGUUCCUUUCAAAGUAAUGAAUUUAAUGACAAUGUCAUAUAAAGCCUUUUUUGUUGUUUCUCACUGUGAGGUAUGUGUUAAGAAAGUGUAGUCAUGGCCAUUGUCUCACCCUGGUUCAGUAAACAGUCCUUGGAUUUCCUUGUGAAACUAAUAAAGGGCUUACUCAGACCCACGUUGGUGGCAGAGACACUUGGGCAUCCUGCUCGGUUUCUAAUUUCAUGAAAACAUGUUUGGGGGCACCAUCCCUUUAAAUUCUUCUCAUGGUGUGGCCCUCUUUUGUUACACACCCUGACUCGGAUGUCCUGCCACACAGCUGCUGAGAAGCAGGAAAGGGUGGGGACCUGCCCAGCUCACCCUCUCAACCGCCUUGUCUGGUAGUCCUCCCUUCCCCUCGGAGGCUUGGCGCCCCCUGCUGGUAGAGGUGGUGACAGCAGCUUCCAUAUUCCUUCUGCAGCCCUCUUACUUUUCUCAACCACAGGGCACAGGGCCAGUGGCAGCAGCACAGAAGCCCCCUCCAGAAGCGGGUUUAGAGGUGAUGGGGGAGUGGCUGGGGCAUCCAGGGCCUCCUUGGCCUAGUGUAGGUCCUGCUACCUACUGGGCACAUAGGACUCAUCAGAUGGUUCUAGGGCCAGCCAGCCGCGACUUCCACCCCAUUCACUGAUAUGUUUAAAGGACAGUUUGUGAACUUGGCACUGUGGGGCGAUGUUUAUAUUUUUGAAUCAGUAACUUCUGUCACUUCAGCUUUGAAAACAGUCUUAAAUCUCUUUUCCUCUCUCUCCAUUUGCUGCAUCAGGCCAUUGUGAGCUGUCACUCAGACUGUUUUAUUGUCCUUAGCUGUUGUUCCUGCUUGCACUCAGUCUGCCUUAAUGCUCCUUGCUGACUGCUCCCUGAAAAGGAGACUUGUGCCUGUGAUGGCAGCUACAGUAAAGACCUCGCAUCCUUAGUGAGACUCAGACGUGCCAUGGGGUCCUGAGAGCACAGCCAGCCUCCUGCCCGCUCCAACCUCUCAGCAGGAGCGCACAGCCCUGCCUGUCCCUGCCACAUACCACGGAAUGGUCCUUGCCUUCAGGGUUGUUGGGAGGAUUAAAUAAAUUAAUGUGGGUCCAGUGCUUACAAAAUAACUGUAUUCAAACAUGGAUUGGAAUUAAGAGAAGCAAGAAAAUCUCAGGACCUUUCAUGUGCAUAGUGAAGGGAACCAGAAUUUUGCCACCCCAAAACGGUCCCUUUUGGGAUGUUGGUUUUAAGCUGGUUAUUCAAAAACAGAAGACUCAGAAAGAACCUGUGGCCUUUCUAUUUUCCUGUCUAAGAGACUCAGAUGAAAAGGCCUGUUCCAGGAAGGAAAUCUCAACACCCUCACCUUAGCAGUAGGUAGGAAGGCUGCAGGCAGGGGCCUGGUAGAUAGACAUCCCCUCUACCCCCAUUGUUUCUGGGUUGCCUAGCAAGAAUUUGCCCAGCACAUGUGUCCCACUCUUCCUCAGCUACCUGUAAAAUGCUU